rnacentral:rRNA from 1 species
UACACUCCUACGGGAGGCAGCAGUGGGGAAUAUUGGACAAUGGGCGCAAGCCUGAUCCAGCCAUGCCGCGUGAGUGAUGAAGGCCCUAGGGUUGUAAAGCUCUUUCACCGGUGAAGAUAAUGACGGUAACCGGAGAAGAAGCCCCGGCUAACUUCGUGCCAGCAGCCGCGGUAAUACGAAGGGGGCUAGCGUUGUUCGGAUUUACUGGGCGUAAAGCGCACGUAGGCGGACUAUUAAGUCAGGGGUGAAAUCCCGGGGCUCAACCCCGGAACUGCCUUUGAUACUGGUAGUCUUGAGUUCGAGAGAGGUGAGUGGAAUUCCGAGUGUAGAGGUGAAAUUCGUAGAUAUUCGGAGGAACACCAGUGGCGAAGGCGGCUCACUGGCUCGAUACUGACGCUGAGGUGCGAAAGCGUGGGGAGCAAACAGGAUUAGAAACCCCAGUAGUCCCAUG